AUUACAGAAAUGCUGUCUUAUUUUAAACUUUGUUUUGCAUAUUUAACUUUGUUCUUUCAUUUUUUCAGUAUCGCUUCUUGUUUUUCAGAAAUUGCUCAAAGACUUAGAUGCUACUGGGAGAAGUUCGUGUGCACAUUUUUUUGCGUUGAUUUGAGCAUCUGUGAUACACAAUACAGAUGGCUUAACUUUUAAGAGAUUGGAUAUGUAUCAUAUGUUGAAUAUACUGUUUGUUCUUCACCCUUUGCCACAAAAAGAUACGUUUGAGCUUCAAGUCUCUGAGGAAACCGUUGAGAAUGGCUGAAGAUAAUUGGCAUACUGGGGAGAAGUGCCUUGCCCCUUGUCUUGAAGAUGGGAAACUUCAUGAAGGAACAAUAUCUUCUAUUGAGAAGGACAAGAAUGGAAAAUCAUUUGCUGUUGUAUCAUUCUCAGAGUCUGAAGAAAGGAAAAUAUUAAUAACUAAACUUUGUAGAGUCAAAGACAGAAGAGGGCCCUGGAAAAGCUUAAUAUUUGAUGAUCGUGAUCUGGAAAAGCCAUAUUUUCCUGACCAGAAUUUUCCAUCUCCUGCAGUUGCUUUUAAAUUAUCUGACAAUGGUGAUUUUAUUCCAUAUACAAUUAACAGAUACCUACGUGAUUAUCAAAGGGAAGGAGUCCAAUUUCUGUAUGGACAUUAUGCUAAUAAAAGGGGGUGUAUUCUUGGAGAUGAUAUGGGCCUUGGAAAGACAAUACAGGUCAUUUCGUUUUUGGCUGCAGUGUUGCACAAAAAGGGAACACGUGAGGAUAUUGAAAAUAAUAUGCCAGAUUUUUUACUGAGGACAAUGAAAAAAGAACCCAAGUGUAACCCCAAGAAGACUUUCCUCAUAGUGGCCCCUCUUUCAGUGCUUUACAACUGGAAGGAUGAGUUAGACGCAUGGGGGUACUUUAAGGUCUGUGUCUUACAUGGCAGUAAAAAAGAUGAUGACUUCAGUCGCAUCAAGCAAGGGAAAUGUGAAGUUGCCCUUACAACGUAUGAGGUGCUUCGCCUGUAUUUGGAUGAAUUUAACAGCGUAGAAUGGUCUGCUGUAAUAGUGGAUGAAGCACAUAGAAUCAAGAAUCCAAAGGCUCAAAUAGCUCAAACCAUGAAGUCAUUAAAAUGCAGCGUUCGCAUUGGUCUUACUGGAACCAUUCUUCAGAACAAUAUGAAGGAACUUUGGUGUGUUAUGGACUGGGCUGUACCAGGACUUUUGGGUAGCAGAGUACACUUCAAGAAGAAGUUUUCUGAUCCAGUGGAGCAUGGCCAGAGGCACACUGCAAGUAAAAGAGAGCUAGCAACAGGUCGUAAGGCCAUGGUGGAGCUAGCAAGAAAAAUGUCUGGCUGGUUUCUGAGAAGAAGCAAAGCACUUAUCAGUGAUCAGUUGCCAAAAAAGGAGGACAGAAUGGUGUACUGUUCUCUCACUGAAUUCCAGAAAGCAGUGUACCAGGCUGUGCUAGAGACAGAGGAUGUGAGCUUAGUAUUACGAGCAGGAGAGCCCUGCAGCUGCAACAGUGGUCGUAAAAGAAAGAACUGUUGUUACAAAGAAAACGCUUAUGGUGAAACAAUUAAGUCGCUGCGCUUCAGUUACCUGACAAUUCUACAGAAGGUUGCAAAUCAUGCUGCACUGCUGCAGACAGACAACACUAGCAAGCAGCAGGAAGCACAUAUCAAACGGGUGUGCAGCCAAGUAUUUUCCAGUUUUCCAGAUUUUGUGCAGUUAAGCAAAGAUGCAGCCUUUGAAACCAUUUCAGAUCCAAAGUACAGUGGAAAAAUGAAGGUCCUUCAGCAGCUUUUAAAUCACUUCCGAAGGAACAAGGAUAAAGUUCUUCUUUUCUCCUUUUCCACAAAGUUGCUAGAUGUGCUGGAACAAUACUGUAUGGCAUCUGGGCUAGAUUACCGAAGACUUGAUGGAAAUACAAAAUCAGAAGAUAGAAUGAGAAUUGUAAGAGAGUUCAACAGUAUUCAAGAAAUUAACAUAUGUCUUGUAUCAACAAUGGCUGGUGGACUGGGUCUUAAUUUUGUUGGUGCCAAUGUUGUUAUACUGUUUGAUCCUACAUGGAACCCAGCAAACGAUCUUCAAGCUAUUGACAGAGCUUACAGGAUUGGCCAAUACAAACCUGUUAAAGUGUUCAGAUUGAUAUCCUUGGGAACUGUGGAGGAGAUGAUGUACUUGCGACAAGUUUAUAAACAGCAACUUCACUGUGCGGUGGUUGGAAGUGAAAAUGCCAAGCGGUAUUUUGAGGCAGUGCAAGGAUCAAAGGAACAUCAAGGAGAGCUUUUUGGAAUCCAUAACCUUUUCAAACUUAGGACUCAUGGGUCCUGUCUUACCAAAGACAUCCUGGAGAGGGAAGGACGGGUAGAAGCAGGAGUCAUAACAGCAACUAUGUGGCUAAAGGAAGAGACUUCUCCAUGCAGCUCAGAAAAGUAUGAACAGCCAGAUUGUAGAGAAGAUAGAGAUUCCCAAAGCAUUCAGGCACAAUUAAUAAGAGAAGAAAUAGACUUUUCUGAUGACUUUAGUGAUGAUGAUAUUCUGGAAACUUCCAUGAAAAAAUGCCACAGAAGGAAGCCUUGCAAUGCAAAUAAUUCAGUGGAAACCAAGGGGCAGCUUUCCUUAAUGCAGUGUGGAUUCUCUAAGUUGUUGCAGAGAGAAGCUGAAGCUACCAAAGAAGAGGAUAAUAAUUACAACUCUCAUCAUUCCAGUUCUGAUGAUCAGACUUUAAGAGCAAAUGUAAAUAGCAAACACACUGAUUCUCAGGAAUGUCAGAGCCAUGUGUCUGUUUUGGAGCAUGGGAACACUGAUCACUCACCAGAUAGAACUGAUAAACAAAAUUUGUGUAGUAUAGACUGGCUUGUUUUAACAGGCUCUGAGGAGGAAGGGGACAUAGAAAGUGAUGAUCAAGGCAUUUCAAAGCACAGUGAUACAGUCAUGAAUACUGAAAACAGUUCUGAAGGUGAUGAUGAUGUCAUCUUUCCUACCCAAGUUUCAGCGUGGCAGCAACCACUGCUUACUAAGAAAGUUGAAUUAUGCAGAUCAACAUCUGAAAAUUGUGAAGAGUUAGCAAAAGAAGAAGAUGGGUUUGUAUUUAAGGAAGACAGUAGGCAAUUUGGACUCCAUAAUAGUGAGUCAAAUUUCAGCAAAACUGCGUCUUUUGAGGACAUCAAGAACCUCACAAGAGAAUUGAAAGGAGCAAGUGACAUAAGUGAUGAGUCCGAUGAUAUUGAGAUUUCCCAUAAUUCUAAAUCAAGAAAGUCAAGAACUUUCAGCUUUCCAAAAUGGAAAGAAAAUACCUAUAGCAAUGGACAAGGUAAUGUCUCAAAACCUCAGCUACAAGCAAAGAAGCCCAAUAGAAAAGAAAAGGAAAGCGAUUCUCAGAAUAUAGAUGAAUUUUCAUCCUCUGAAGAUAACUUGCCAGUUGAGAAAACACAUGCCAGAAAGCAAAGCUAUAAGUGUAAAAAACAGAGAGGCAGAGUUUGGUUUGGGUCUAAAAUACUCUAUCCUGUUCAAGAUACCUCUGUUGCACAAAUGAAGACUGGCAGUUACACUAUGUGUAGAACUUCUGCAAGUAAAACUGCAUUUGAACAUCAGGAGCAGAAAGUGGAAUCAAUGGACAGAUAUUUAGAUGGUGUUCCAGAAGUGGCAUAUAUUCAUUCAAAUCAGAAUGUAGUUGGAUCUAGCAAGGCUGAGAAUCACUUGAGCCGGUGGGCUGUACGAGAUGUAUUUGAGUUGAAGCAGUUUUCCCAGCUCCCUGCUAAUGUAGCAGUCUGUAGUGCCAAGUCAACUGCAUGUUUUCAACUUAAGUUUACUUAAAGUUUUACUGAAAAGAAAUGUACAAAGACAGCCAUUCAAUUGAGGAUUAAUCACUAUGGCAACAGAAAUGUGGUGACUGAAAAGGGGGAGGAUGUAUUCUCCCCUCAGUUUCCUGCCAGCUGUCAUAUUCAACCUCUGCGGGAUGAAUUCAGGCCAAAAUAUAGACUGUGACCAGCUCUAAGAAACUAUAUCUGUAUUUUUAUAAAUUCGUACAGGAAUUGCACUAUAAAAGAAGACUUAAUCCUCUGAAUUGGAUGACAGACAUUUGGCACUCUUGCCAGUGUUUGACAGAGAAAUAACGGGAUGCUUUGUAGUAAAACCUGGAUUAAUGGUAAACCCCUCUUUAUGUUAUUGCAAUGUGGUGUAAAUGAGAGAACUAAGCAUGCUGUCAGCCUAGGAAAAAAUGUGCCCUUUGUAUCUCCAAUGCAGAUUUAAGUGCUGUUGAGAAUACUGUAAAUACUAAAGUUGUGUCAUUAAGAACUCCUCUUUAUCUUAUUUGUAUUACAUUGACAUUUUGUAGAUUAUUUAGACAAAGACUUCUACCAGUUAUAGUAACUCUGAUUGCAGUGUGUUUGCACAGCUUUCAAAUUCAACAAGUUAAGAUAGUUGUUUACAAAGAGUAGGAUUUUGAGAGAUAACAUGCCAUUAUCCUUGCUCUUCUAGGAUGGGGAGUGUUAUUCAGCUUUAUAAUAAUUGUUCCCAAAUGAUUGGCCUGUAAUGCUGUUUUAUUGAGUUUACUGUUUCAGUUUACAGAGGAAUUAACCAUUUCAGUAUGUCUUUCAGUUGUUUUAUUUUAUUUUUUCUUAAAUGCAGUGAGUUCAUAUAUGGCAUGGAAUCAUAGAAUGGUUUGGGUUGGAAAGGACCUGAAGAUUAUCUAGCUCCAACCCUACCACCAUGGGCAGGAACACCUCACACUAAACCGUGUCACCCAAGGCUCUGUCCAACUGAGCCUUGAACACUGCCAUGGAUGGAGCAUUCACAACUUCUUUGAGCAGCCUGUUCCAGGGCCGCACUACCCUCAUCCUGUGAAGCGUGUAGUUGAAUUUUCAUAUGAUGUAUGUGCAUGGCUUUUGGCUCUGCUAUUGUUUGAUGGAGGAAUGAGGGCGUGAGUGAAGGCAGGUGCAAGCCCACUUCUGCUGGAGUAAGCCAUUACCUUAGUUUUGAAUUCUGAGGCAGGCUGAUUAUGUCCUCUCAUUCUCAACAGUAGUAACUAUGUUGGUUCAUGGUCAAGUUUUUGGUGCAAGAAAGUGAUACGGCUUAUAGGAAUUCUUUUUGUUAAAGAGUCAACAAAUUAAAUAAAACUGCUCCUAGUGAGAAAUUCUUGCUUUGUUAUGUGAUUGGAGAAAAAACAGAAGUAGAUGUGAAAUAGAACACAGUCUAUCUGUUGACUUAGUAGUUGCUUCUCCACUACCAGGCAAAAGGUUAGAGUUCAUGGAAUGUCCUUCGACUCAGUUUGUACAAGCAGAAAAGCUAGAUAAGACAACCUGGCAAAAAAUGACUACACAUUACUCUGAUAAAAUUUACUUUUAUCAGCAGGUAUAGCUGGUCUCUGGGUAUUGGCAAGAGUAUUUUGGAGAGGUAAUUCAGAUCCAGAAUAAGCCAAACAGUUUUUGUAGCUAUUGGCCUGCUGUUAUACUAUCAAAUAUUAGAUACAUUUGUAGUCAUAGCCAACAUCCUGAGUAUUUGUUUAAUUCAGAAAGCUUAGGUAUAAAUGUGAUUGUCCUACAGUAGUCUAAAAGUUUUAAGCAGUUUAGCUUCAUUUUCUACUGCAAUUGAGGUAUUGACAAUUAGCUAUACAAUUACUUCUAAUACUUAUUUUGCAAUCUUGUUUUGUUAGAACAGUAGACAAAUUCAGUCUUAGACUGCUUUUCAAUUAAGAAAGUUAAAUUCAGAGGGAAAAUCAAUGUCCACGUCAGAAAUAGUCUUAAAAUAUUGUAAGAUUCAGGCUUAUUUCAUACAACGAAAUGUAUAACUAGCCAUAACCAUCUGAAGCUGUAAUAGCGUGUUUAGUAGUGUGUCCUCUGUAAUCAGAAAGGUAAUUCUGGUUCAUUUAAGAGUCAGGUGAAAGUGGAAAAAAAACUUACUAUUUGAUAACUUUUUUUAUUGUUUUCACCAUGUGACCUCAUUUUUAGAAAAACUACAUUUAAGUUUUAUGUGGACAGUUAUACUUCAUCUUCUUUGGCAUGCAGAAUAAUUUAGGAAGAAAUUCUUGUUUGACAUGUGUACAUGCAUAAAAAAGAAGGAAACCAGAUCAGGAAGAAACAAUCAGAAAUGGAAACAAGCAAACUGCAGUGAAAAGUAUCCUGGAUAUCCUGGCAGUAGUGGUUUCAUGCAUACCUGAAGACAAAAGUGUGUUAACCCUGUUUCAGCUGUGAAUGGGGAAGUCAAUGAGGGUUAUUGCUGACUGGAAGUCAGUAUCUGGUAAGAUACUUAGACUGGCGAUACUUUGGAUAGUCAGGCAGUAAAAGCAUUUUAUGAUUCUAAAACAGAAAGAUGCUCAGACACAGUGCAACUGUGGCUGAGGAAUCAUUAUGUAAGCAUGUGUUCAACUUCAUAUUCAGGCUUUUGAAGGAAGUUUGUUAUCCUCUAAGUCUGGUGAUUUGAGGAAUUACCACAAAUGUGACACAGGUUAAAAAAACCAAGUAUUUCCGAAUCUCUGUUUCUCUUUUUUCUCUACUCAUCUUGCUCCUAGCCUCUGCUUACUUACUCUCCCAUACGUUUUCAUCAUGCUGUAUGUAAAAUGAUGAACAUUGUUUUCGUUUGCCUUGCUUGAAGGGGAUAAAGAGAGGAAAAAGGAAGUCAUAGGCUGAAGGUGGCCAGUCAUCUCAGUAAUGUCUGAGGGUGCUUAUACAUGGAUUAUCAUUCAUUGUUCCAGAGUGUAGAGCUACUUCUUUAUGCCUGUAGGAAAAACAGAUACUGAAGUUUUGUACUUCAAAGAUAGGCAAAUUUGGGUUUGGCAGGUGUAUCCUAUUUUUAAAAUUAUGCUGCAGGAGUCAGAUUGUUACACAGAGCUAACAGAUCCAGGAGUUGUUGCAGUUCAAGUUGCAAUCUCUAAGUAAAAAUUACUCCUGCAUUCUGGCACUUAAAUUUUUGCUUGGUGCUCAGCUGCGUGUCUUCCUUCUGCUUGAAGACCAUUACCCUUAACUGUGAACUGAUGUGGAAUUCUAAAUGUGCAGAUGCUACCCUUUUUGCUGGACUCUUGAUUACAGCCUGUAUUCAAUAUGCAGUUCAAAGAAAUGGAUGCUCAUAAUUGGUAUCCAAAGCCUGAUAUAUACUUUUAAGAAUAAACUACAUAAACAAUGAAAGAAGAAUGAAUGAAGGAAGGAAAAGAUCUGCUGUGGUAGGAAGAUAGAACAUGUUCAUGUUGGAAACCCAUAGACUAAAUGGAACAUGAAAACUGAAAACAAAUGCUUGCUUUGAAGUGCUUUUUCAUGUAUGGUAGGAGUCCCUAGGUUUUCUGAAUAGAUUAAAAACUAUUUUCUGCACAGCUAUGUAAUAAUCCCACUUCUUUCCCAUUGCAGUAUAUGGAAAGCCUCUUCAGAGUAAGUGCAGUAAAUGAGGGGGUGAUGGGAUAAGAAAACAAGUGUAAAUCAGGAAGGAAUGACUGAGUUUCUACAUGCUGUUUUCCGUGGUUUACAACAGCACUUCACAAUUUCACUUUACUGUAUGUAUUCAUGAACUUUAUUUCUUUACAUUAACAGGUAUGUUUUCUAUAGUGUCACCUUUUCUCAUGUAAUUUUUUGUUGCCUUCUACUAAGCAGCUUGCAUGGGUGGCCUUUCUCUUAUAUGUAUGCACUUGAAAAUGAAUUGUUUCUUUUGAACUUUGUGUGAAGGUUUUUCCCAUGAAAGUGUAGAAAGGUGACUAAAGUAGUAAAACUGUUACAUUCAGUAAUUCAAUCAAAAUAUUUUAUCUUUGUCAAAUUAUUUUGCUGCACCUUUUUCCCCCACUGAAGUACUGUAUUGAGAAAGGAGAAAAUAUGAAGAAUACCAAAAUGUGUAAUGGUGUUAAUAAUAUAUAGAUAGAUAUAUGACUGGUAAGUAGGUGGACAACUAUAAGUGAAACUUUCCCACUUUCAACUGUGGAAAUUUUGUAACGUGCACCACAAAUGUUGUCUUUAAUGUAGUUAAAUAUUUAGCAGAGACUGUUUUCAUGAUUGCUGUCAAUUUUUUUGUAAAAAUUAUUUUAAAUUACAUAUAGCAGACAACUGUAUGUAAAAGUAAGCGAAAGUAUUUCUUUAGCUUUGUGUCAUGUAUUUUAGAAUGCUAAUCAGAAGGUGCGCUAGGUGCAGCACAUGAAAAAGUUUUAACAGUAUGUAUGUGUGUGAUGGUAUAAUAUUUGCAAGAAUACCUUUGGAUUUCGAUACUAUGAUUUUACUUAUCAUUCAGAGUAGCUUGGCCAUAAUAAUGUCUUUGAAACUUUUUAAGCAUAUUUAUAUUUAGAGUGAGAAAAACAUGCUAUUACUUAUUCUGGUACUGGAUGGAAUUUUAAUUCCAGGAGAAAGAAUUUGUGUCAGUAAUUGUGCCCUUUCAGUUUCUUGACUGAUUUUCUUCUCCUGUGUUAAAUUUGUUAAUUUUCUUUUUUUUUUGG